AGAGUGGCAGACAUCACAAACAAGUGACCCUAUUGGAAUAGAGUGGCAGACUAACAUGUACUAUAUCUGUUCAAGAGACUAUCAUCCUAAGUAACAACAAAGCUACCCCAGCAAAAGAGGUCAAAACAUAUGGCAUCCGGGAUUUGGGAACCACCUGGAGCGAGGGCCCCACCUUGUUGGUGUGCUCCAACAGCAGUGGCCUUACGAAGAGAAGGACAAUGCUCCAGCCACUCAGCUUGCCAAUCAAGCUGUGGGUGGAGGACCACCAGAUCAAUACCCUGACAUGGUCAGCCCAAACGUAAGACCCGAACCCCCUUGAAAACCUCUGGAAUGUGAUCAAGAGGAGGCUGGAUGGACACAAGCCAUCAACCCAAGCUCAGCAACUUGAAUUCUUAC